GACGAACGCUGGCGGCGUGCCUAAUACAUGCAAGUAGAACGCUUAAGAGAGGAGCUUGCUCUUCUUGGAUGAGUUGCGAACGGGUGAGUAACGCGUAGGUAACCUGCCUUGUAGCGGGGGAUAACUAUUGGAAACGAUAUCUAAUACCGCAUAUCAAUGAAUGACACAUGUCAUUUAUUUGAAAGGGGCAAUUGCUCCACUACAAGAUGGACCUGCGUUGUAUUAGCUAGUAGGUGAGGUAAUGGCUCACCUAGGCGACGAUACAUAGCCGACCUGAGAGGGUGAUCGGCCAAACUGGGAAUGGGACACGGCCCAGACUCCUACGGGAGGCAGCAGGAGGGAAUCUUCGGCAAUGGGGGCAACCCUGACCGAGCAAAGCCGCGUGAGUGAAGAAGGGUUUCGGAUCGUAAAGCUCUGUUGUAAGUCAAGAACGGGUGUGAGAGUGGAAAGUUCACACUGUGACGGUAGCUUAACAGAAAGGGACGGCUAACUACGUG
rnacentral:rRNA from 1 species